CUUAUUUUCUGUUGAAUUUUGCUUUCAUUCCCGUCUCUCCCCAUAUUAUCUGUUGAAUUUUGCUUUCUGGAUUCCUGUAAUAUGCUUCUCUGCAUCCAUAUAAACACCUUCCACUCUUACAAAACCCUACAUCAUCCUUGAUUUCGCUCUCACACACUUCAAAUCCGUUCUCAAUUGCUUACGACAAGGUAAAUUGAAGGUCGUCAGAGCUGUUGAUACUGAACGGAGAUGUGCAUCUGAUUGUAAUCAACAAACAGAGUUAGGGCAAACUUCAAGAGAGAUCGAGCAGAUAAAGUGUGCCAGAAGUCACCAUAUUCCCCUUCCAUUGAGCUACGGACGUGAGUUGUGAGGGGACGGGAUGACGGUAGUAGGCAUCACUCAGGAGCACAAUUCUGAAAGCAGAUGUCUAUUGUCAUGUUAAAGAGGCC